rnacentral:lncRNA from 1 species
UAAAAUCAAUUUCAUGUUCCUCACGGUACAAUGCACUAAUUUGGGUGCGUGUGGAGAAAACCACAGUUCCAAAUGGAAGAAAUUUUAACACUGCGUUCUAAGUGACAAGCAAACCUAGUAGAUGUUUUCAUUUUAGAAUUUUCUUUGAAGAUUCAUAUGGGUGCAAUUUAUAUACAGUGCGUAAGGCACCUCUAAUUAUGCAGGAAGAUAGAUACCUCAGGCUUUAAACUCCUUCACUGGUUGUUAAGACCAUCUCCACUCCUCCGCCCCACCUUCGUACCUCAGCCUCGCAGCCCCCCUCUCCGCCCCUCUCCCUCUCACCCACACCCCCAUCCCUGACUCGGCCACUCCGUACAGCAGCUCCGACUCGCUGAUCUCCUGGCCGUGAGGCCAGAUCAGGUCCUCCGCUGCAAAGCCCUCCAUGAUGCAGUAGGUGUCACGGAAAGCAUGCUCGGCCUCGGCACGUAGGUCACCGACUGUAGCGUGGAGAGGCACCACCACGAGCUCGGGUGGCGGAGUCGCCCGUGAGAACAUCCCUGCCUCAUCCUCGGCCGCCACCGCACUCACCAUGAACCUCAGCUGCUCAUCCGCGUCCCUGAUCGGCCACUCUUUGGCGAAGUGCUUCAUGUCCAGGACCACGCGCGUAGCCGCCUCCACAACCUUGCCACCCAAACCACCUUCCAAAACCGUCCUGUACACGUACUCCAGGUCUCUCUCGAUCUCACUUCUUCUCCCCACCUGAAUCUGGUUUUGAGGGUGGUCUUGUGACUCGUAUUUCCUGGUUUCUGUGGCCUCCUCACCAUCCCAGUAGUCGAGCUCGGUGGUGGAUAACGAGUACUCUAACACCUUCGUUUUAGGGUUGACGGUGAGCGGAAUGAGGUGAGGACCGACCGCGCAAUUGUUGAGAGACUUGAGCACGAAGUCGAGGAGGCCCGAUGCGCCCACGAGCAGCAUCACGUACCUCCUGACGCAACAUUCGCCUACUGCCGCUCGCCUCCAAGAUCUCAGCCACGACACCUGCAGCCGCCUCAAACCGCUUGGGUGACCACCGGCACGGCGAUGAUGCGGCCAACUCCUCAACCCCCACUAUUUCUCUAGAAACCAAAUCUUUCUUUCUGUCUCUAAAGGUCCAAGCUCUAUUUCCCUCUAAAAACCCAUUAUCUCUAUAGAAGCCCACUCUCACUUUCUUUCUUAAGAAUCCCAAUCUAUCUUUCUCUCUCAAAAAGCCUAUUAUCUUUCUUUCUAAAAAACUAAUCUUUAUUUUUCUCUCUAAAAAUUCAUUCUCGCUCUAAAAAUGCAAUCUCUCUUUCUUUCUAAAAACUAAAUCUCUCUUUCUCUCUAAAAACUCAUUUUCUCACUAAAAACCUAAUCUCUCUCUUUAAAAACUCUUUAUCUCUCUACAAGUCCAAUCUCUCUUUCUCUUUCUAAAGUCCCAAUCUCUAUCUAGAAAUGUAAUCUCUCAUUCUCCCUCUAAAUUCCAAUUUCUCUCUCUAAAAAUCCAAUCUCUCUUUGUCUUGUUUACAGCGUGAACCAAAGCAGAUUUUCAAUUGAAUAUCACUUGAUUCAACACUAGGAAUUCAGUUAUUAAAAGUAAUAGAGAGUUGGAACAAUUGAAUCAUGAUCUACUGCAAACAUUUAUUUGCAUUUGUAGUUAUUUUCGUACAUUGGUUAUGCCGGCUCUACCGAUUAUCUAAAAGAAGAUCCGCCCAUCCAGGUAGAUUAGCCCUUAGAUCAUAAUUUAAUUGGCCUCCAUGACCCCUCUACCGAUUUUAAUUAACUAGUUUAUAGUGUCAGGUUGGGGGGAUUCUCGCUUGAAAAUCUCAAAAUUUUCCAUUGUAAAGUAUAAAUAACAUAUAUACACACACAAAACAAAACAAAUACAUGCAUUCAUGCAAAGAAAGCAAGGGGGAAGAGGCUAACUAUUGAACAGCUAGAAUGGAAAUUGAGAAUGUCAACCAUUUGUUAUGGGACAUUAUACAAAGAAACCAUUUACUUUUCAUACAAGGAGGAAAUAAUUAUUAUUGUCCAUUAGAUCUCAAAUCAUAAAAGUUGUAAAAAUGUCAUCGACUAAACUGGAAAUUCAAAAAAAAUUUAUAGAACUUUGUGAAAUAUUUUAAUUCAUUCAAAUUGACAUCUAAUGAUUAGAAAUAGUUAUAAGUAGUGACCUUCUUGUAACAAAGAUAAAUGGUCUCAUAAUAUACAAUCCCAUUUGUUAUUGUUAUUCGAGUUAUGCUAUUUGUGACUAACAAAGUACCUCUUUCUUUGUGUGCCACAUGACAGGGGAGCAUAUUAUGAUGAACAUUAACUUUCCACCAAUGGUUUGUACGGAAAUGGAAGGAUAGCGGGACCUACUAAAUUAAGGGUCAUUUUCCCAUAAGUGGAUUGGACAAUGUUAGAAGGAUAGUUGGUUUCUCCAAACAUAUCAUUUAUUCUAUUGUACAUCACAGUAUCCCUCUAAUCACUGUCCAAUUUACUGACCCUAUGAUAAUGGCCCUUGUUGCGGUGAUCAUAUAGGCCGUCAUCUACGUAGGGACCCCACUCCAUGUGAUGGAUAGUGGAGAUUAAUUAAAUAACUGUUGCUAAAAGAUUUUAUACUCAUGCAUGAGUAUACUAUCCAUUUUCUUUGGGUAAAACCCCACCUAGAAAUAAUUCGACGACCUCAGAUUUUGGGGAUGUAACCUCUGUAACCUAUUGAUUAACGUUAAUAAAAAAAUUUCCUAAUUUAUAUACAUGAAGAAAUAAUGUCUUGAAACUGAAUAAAGGCCAUACAAUUUUUAGAUAGCAAAAUCUAAGUGUUAGAAAACUCAAAUUUAAAUUUUUUUAUUUUGAGAAUGAUCAUCUACUCAUUCUUAGAUGUUUCCCAAAAUUUCAAUAAUGAAAAAAUCCUCUCGAUUAGUCUUAUGGCAAAGCAAGUAGAAGUAAACUAUGCUUCUGAGGGAGCAUAAUAUGGGUCCUCAUAAUGGUAAUUGUUAGCUAAAGUGGGGUAUACUUUCUUAUGAAUAUUGCAAUAAUAUUUGUGAUAGAGGGAGUAGAAGUAUACUGGUAUGUGCUCAUUAUUGUAAUUAUUGGUUACAAUGUCGUAUACUUUUAUGUGA